GUUAUUGAUCAUCUUGAAACCAAGGCUGGAGCGAAAAAGAUUUAUAACCACAGACCUUAACAGGGUUUUCCAGGAUUUGGUCCCUUUUUAACGGAUGUUGGUUCGGGACUACGACAGCCAAGAAACAGAAGAUCGUGUGGCAGUUGGCCUAUGAAAUGUGGAGGGAAAUGGGUCGCAAACACCGCCAUCUGGCCAUUAUAAAGAAAUGGUCAGACAUGAAGCGAAGACAGCCACGUUUCAUUAAAAGUAUCCGGAAUGAAAAAUGCCCAGAAUGAAGACAUGGAAGGCCAAAUUGGCCAAACUGCAAAGGGCACAUCUCCAUGAUAUGCGGGCCGUUAAUGAGCGCUUGAUGGG